CCCGCCGCCAUUGCUCUGCUUCUCCUCAGUUGAGGCGCAGAACCACAAAAUGGCAAAGGGGCCUCAAAGGCCAUCCAAACCAAGCCAGGAAAACACAAAGCACCCCUCACAACACAUUGCCACCCAUCUUCUGCUUGAAAUCCUCCACAGAAGCAGGCCCUUCAUUCGGGCCUGUAUAGCACCAUCCGACCCUUUGUAGUAGUAAGGACACUUGAGGCCUUCCAUUCUGGAGAAGAUGCAGGGAAUACUUAUUCUGGGCAGCUCCUCGUUGAGAACUACACGAGUGUGGUGUCUUUCAGUAUGCAAAUGGUGGAAAAUAUGAAGGAGAGCAUGUAAUUAUGAAGUGACAUCACCUCCGUCUCCCACUUGCUUUCAAGGGAUGCAAGAGCAAAUGGAAACUCAAAAAGAUCUUAGGGAAGGAAAGCAAAGGAUGGAGCACAACUUAACGCCUGACUUUAAGGCAAGUAUGCUGUGGAAUGGAUUAAUCAUGAUGCUCAUAAAUUGCAUUUUCGGGUCGAUAUGCUAUGUCGAGAGUCAAAGCAAAGAAAUAACACAUCAAAGGUUUUCAUGGCCAGAAACACAGGGUUGUUGUGUGUUUUCCGGGCUGUUCGGCGAUGUUCCAGACGUAUUUUCUCCUGACGUUUCAACCACAUUAUGGCAGGCAUCCUCAGAAAAAAAAAAAAUCUGUUUUUCCUCCACCACAGACAUCCCAGUGUUUCUGACUGUUUCACAAUUGGUCCUCUUGGAUAAUACUGCGUCAGGGAUGUUAUUCCUUCUAGGCAGUUGUUUAGAAAAAAAUCAAAAUCUAAAUUAUGAAUGUUAAAAAACCAAUUGUAAUAAAUUACUGUAUACACUCGAGUAUAAGCCGACCCGAAUAUAAGCCGGGGCACUUAAUUUUACCACAAAAAAACUGGGAAAAUAUUGACUCCAGUAUAAGCUGAGAGUGGUAAAUUUCAGAAAUAAAAAUAAAUACAGUAGAGUCUCACUUAUCCAACAUUCGCUUAUCCAACGUUCUGGAUUAUCCAACGCAUUUUUGUAGUCAAUGUUUUCAAAACAUCGUGAUAUUUUUGUGCUAAAUUUGUAAAUAUAGUAAUUACUACAUAGCAUUACUGCGUAUUGAACUACGUUUUCUGCCAAAUUUGUUGUAUAGCAUGAUGUUUUGGUGCUUAAUUUGUAAAAUCAUAACCUAAUUUGAUGUUUAAUAGGCUUUUCCUUAAUCACUCCUUAUUAUCCAAGAUAUUCGCUUAUCCAAGCUUCUGCUGGCCCGUUUAGCUUGGAUAAGUGAGAAUCUACUGUAGUAGCAACAAUAAUAGAGAAAAAAAUAAAUGUAAGAAUACCAA